rnacentral:rRNA from 1 species
UUGGAGGUUGUGCCCUUGAGGCGUGGCUUCCGGAGCUAACGCGUUAAGUAGACCGCCUGGGGAGUACGGCCGCAAGGUUAAAACUCAAAUGAAUUGACGGGGGCCCGCACAAGCGGUGGAGCAUGUGGUUUAAUUCGAUGCAACGCGAAGAACCUUACCUGGUCUUGACAUCCACAGAACUUUCCAGAGAUGGACUGGUGCCUUCGGGAACUGUGAGACAGGUGCUGCAUGGCUGUCGUCAGCUCGUGUUGUGAAAUGUUGGGUUAAGUCCCGCAACGAGCGCAACCCUUAUCCUUUGUUGCCAGCGAUUAGGUCGGGAACUCAAAGGAGACUGCCAGUGAUAAACUGGAGGAAGGUGGGGAUGACGUCAAGUCAUCAUGGCCCUUACGACCAGGGCUACACACGUG